rnacentral:rRNA from 1 species
AAAGAUGAAAAGAACUUUGAAAAGAGAGUUAAAAAGUGCUUGAAAUUGUUGAGGGGGAAGCGUUUGAAAGUUAUGGGUGUGCCUAGGCUUAUGCAUCUCUAACGAGCUGCUGCAUGUGCUAGGCACUGGCCAGCUUGGGUUGGCCUUGCGGGAUAAACGCCAUGGUUGUUACAUGGUCAAUGCCGCAGGGGCGAUCAAGGCGUGAAGGGCGCUCAGUCUCUGAACUGCGUCCUCAAGAAGUUGGCGGAAGGCUUUCAACUGACCCGUCUUGAAACACGGACCAAGGAGUCCAACAUGUACGCGAGUUGGUGGGUGGAAAACCCAUGAGCGCAAGUAACCUGACUGGUGGGAUGGCCUGAGCCUGCACCAUCGACCGACCAUGAGCUUCUGCGAAAGGUUUGAGUGCGAGCGUACAUGCUGGGACCCGAAAGAUGGUGAACUAUGCCUGAGCAGGGUGAAGCCAGAGGAAACUCUGGUGGAGGCUCGUAGAUGUGCUGACGUGCAAAUCGCUUUUCGGACUUGGGUAUAGGGGCGAAAGACUAAUCGAACCAUCUAGUAGCUGGUUCCCUCCGAAGUUUCCCCCAGGAUAGCUGGAGCUUAGUGCAGUUUUAUCAG